AGAGUAGUUGAGUGGAGUCGGAUUGCGUAGCAUGUUUUUCUCUGUAUCGGUGACUGACUGAUGCAAGACACAGUCCCAACUAAACUGCGGGCGUUUGUAAUCCAAGGGAAUUAAAUAACACAGUCAAUAUUAAUUCAUCAACUUUUUAUUGGAUCGUGCCUGGAACUGAAUGGUUUUCUAGACAGAUUCAGGCAGGAUUGCGCUAUUCAGAACCAUGGAUUUGCACAUUUUGGAUCACAGACUGCGAGUGACCAGCAUUUGCAAAAAUGGGUUGGUGAAUUUCACUCACCCACUGAUCAAACUCAUAUUUCUGCGGAAAAGAACAAGAUGCAAGUUCUUCAGUCUGACAGAGACCCCAGAGAACUUCACUGUCGUCCUCGAUGAAGAGGGAUUUAAAGAGCUACAGCCGUCGGAGCACCUUCAGGUGGAGAGUUCCGUGUGGCUGCCACUCAACGUCAUCUCCAACGGCAACGCUUCCAACAGCUCACAAGCAGUGGGCGUGACCAAGAUCGCCAAAUCCGUCAUCGCCCCGUUGGCCCAGCAGCACGUGUCAGUCUUCAUGCUGUCCACCUAUCAGACGGACUUCAUCCUGGUGCGGGAGAAGGAUCUGGCUGUAGUUAUCCACACUCUGGAGGAAGAGUUCAACAUCUACAGAGAGGUGGGGGGAGAGUACUCAGCUGUACUCAGCCAAGAUGUCCGCAAUGGCUUCCAGAAGAACGGCAAAGAAGCCCCCCAGCCUACAGUGCACCCGGUGCUGAUACCACCGAACCAGUUCUGUGUGAUGAGUCUAGACCCAGACACUCUGCCUGCCAUUGCCACCACACUUAUCGACGCGCUCUUCUACUCCAGCAGUCCUAAAGAGGGCGCUCUUCCCAGCCAGGAUCUGGACUGUAUCAAGUUCUUCUCCUUCUCCCUGAUCGAUGGCUACGUCUCUCUGGUAAUGGAUACUGAGGCACAGCGACAGUUCCCUGCUGAUCUUCUCUUCACAAGUUCUUCCGGGGAGCUGUGGAGGAUGGUGCGCAUUGGGGGACAGCCUCUGGGUUUCGUGUAUCUCUCUCUCUCUCUCUCUCUCUCUCUCUGCGCCUUGUUUUCCAGAUGAGUGUGGCAUUGUUGCCCAGAUAUCCCAGCCUUUAGCCGACAGUGACAUCUCCGCCUAUUAUAUCAGCACCUUCAGCUUCGACCAUGCCCUGGUCCCUGAAGAGGACAUAGUGAGUGUGACUGAGAUGCUCCAGCAGCACAGGAAAGAGCCAGCCUGCUGAUGGCGGCCUGGUCCGUACUACGCCCCUCUCCGUGUCUUGGGCCUGGGGCAGUACAGGGCUGGAGGGAGAUGCUAACUCUGUGCCUAGACUAGCACUGCAGCAUGAGCAGUAUUAACUAUGAACUUUGUUGCCAUGACCAUGCACCGAUUGGAUGCUGCCUGGACCCUGACCAAUGCACACAACGGGAUAAGGGAAUUGGUGAACUUAAAGUCCAGUUGUGAUGAUGGUAAAACUGUACUUAAGGACUGCAGGUAUAAUGAGGUUAUAAUGAAUGCAUUCUAAGACUUGUUAUAAGCCUAUAUAACCCCCUUAUGUCUUAUCACCCCAUAACAAGAGCUGACUAAAUAACAGCAAUUUUGAGUCAGUUGUAUGUAUCGCUCUACAUAGAGCGAUAUAACAUUAAAGAGAAAGGGGGAUACCUAUCAUAGCCUAAGCCUUGUCAUAAUGCAUUAUUAUAAAGGCGCAUGCACUCUUAUAACGAGCAAUAACACAUUAUACCUGUAGCCUUUUUAGAAAGUGUUACCGUGAGGACUUUAUGUUACUUUCCUGCUUGCCGCAGGGCACAAACAUGUUACUAGGACUGUCAACAACACGGCUGAGUCUUCCAGUGAUGUUUAUAUCGUAAUAGUAUGUGUCAAAGUUCAAAUUAAUUGUGUGAGUGAAUUAUGUGAAGCACAACUUAUGCUUGGUAAAAAAACAUUCUCCAUUGGUGCGUCAUAUUCGCCACAUCUUCACAAAUUCUACGUGUAGUAGGGCACGUACAUUUCCUAAUCGCACCCCCAAUAGCUGAAGACACUCUUUGAAAUCUCAGCACCGAGUGCUAUUUUGGCCAAUUAUGUUUUUUCCGACAUUCAAAAAGGUUCAAACUUAGUGUAUUUGUGGAAAUGAUUCUGUUAAUAAUUGUUAAAAACAAAUCUAUCAGAAUUGUAUUUUCUUGGAAAACAUGCAGGCAAUACUACGAGAGAUAUUACAAAAAUCCCACGUUAAGUGUGGUUUUAUUCAAUGCCGUGAUGCAGUUCCAACAUCAAUAAGUUACUCAGAUUUUUUAAGGUUCAACAUUUCUUUACUUUUGUAGCUUUGAUACGAUCAACACUGUCUUAUUUACAGUUUGUUUUUCAAUUUGCACAAUAAACAACUUUGUUUUUCAUUUCCUUGUAGACUGAUAUUGAAGCUACUAAUAUCAUUAGAAAUAUAUAUAUUUUUUGGUACAAUGACAUUUUGUACAAUAAAAAACGAAAUGUUCUGUGAAAUAUUUGUAAAAUGUACUGCUUUAUUCAAUAAAGACUAUUGAAUGAA